CAGCCGCCACGGUAAUACGAAGGGUGCAAGCGUUAAUCGGAAUUACUGGGCGUAAAGCGUGCGUAGGCGGUGAGUUAAGUCUGCUGUGAAAUCCCCGGGCUCAACCUGGGAAUGGCAGUGGAUACUGGCUCGCUAGAGUGUGUCAGAGGAUGGUGGAAUUCCCGGUGUAGCGGUGAAAUGCGUAGAGAUCGGGAGGAACAUCAGUGGCGAAGGCGGCCAUCUGGGACAACACUGACGCUGAGGUGCGAAAGCGUGGGGAGCAAACAGGAUUAGAUACCCCAGUAGUCCCUGUCUCUUAUAC
rnacentral:rRNA from 1 species